rnacentral:sRNA from 1 species
CUGGGAAGGGACAACAUAACCUGGGUGAGUGAGUUCAUCCUAAUGGGUCUCUCCAGUGACAGGCAGACCCAGGCUGGACUCUUUGUCUUAUUUGGGGCUGCCUACCUGCUGACCCUGCUGGGCAAUGGGCUCAUCCUGCUCCUGAUCUGGCUGGACGUGAGACUCCACCUGCCCAUGUAUUUCUUCCUCUGCAACCUCUCACUUGUGGACAUCUGCUACACCUCCAGCAGGGUCCCUCAGAUGCUGGUGCACUGCACCAGCAAAGAAAGACCAUCUCCUUUGCCCGAUGUGGGACCCAGCUCUUUUUCUCCCUGGCCCUCGGAGGGACUGAGUUUUUGUUGCUGGACGCAAUGGCCUAUGACCGCUACGUGGCUGUUUGCGACCCCCUGUGUUACAUAGAAGUGAUGAGCCCAAGGCUCUGCAUGGCACUGGCAGCUGUCUCUUGGCUAGUGGGCCUGGCUAAUUCUGCUAUGGAGACGGCACUGACCAUGCACCUGCCUACCUGUGGGCACAACGUGCUGAACUAUGUGGCCUGUGAGACACUGGCACUGGUCAGGUCGGCCUGCAUGGACAUCACCUUCAAUCAAGUGGUCAUAGUGGCCUCCAGUUUGGUGGUGCUGCUGGUGCCCUGCUGCCUGGUCUCGCUGUCCUACACCCUCAUUGUAGUUGCCAUCCUGCGGAUCCGCUCCACCCAGGGGCGCCGCAAGGCCUUCGGGACCUGUGCCUCCCACCUCACUGUGGUCUCCAUAUCCUAUGGGAUGGCCCUCUUUACCUACAUGCAGCCUCGAUCCAUGGCCUCAGCUGAGCAGGAAAAGGUGGUGGUACUCUCUUAUGCUGUGGUGACCCCCAUGUUGAAUCCUUUCAUCUACAGUCUGCGGAACAAGGAUGUGAAGGCAGCUCUGAGUCGAGCUCUG